AGUCGACGCUUUGUGGUUCAACUGAUUUGAAGAGCUUGCUCAGAUAUGACGAUGGACAUUGCAAAGAGUGGCGAACGGGUGAGUAACACGUGGGAAACCUACCUCUUAGCAGGGGAUAACAUUUGGAAACAGAUGCUAAUACCGUAUAACAAUGACAACCGCAUGGUUGUUAUUUAAAAGAUGGUUCUGCUAUCACUAAGAGAUGGUCCCGCGGUGCAUUAGCUAGUUGGUAAGGUAAUGGCUUACCAAGGCGAUGAUGCAUAGCCGAGUUGAGAGACUGAUCGGCCACAAUGGGACUGAGACACGGCCCAUACUCCUACGGGAGGCAGCAGUAGGGAAUCUUCCACAAUGGGCGAAAGCCUGAUGGAGCAACGCCGCGUGUGUGAUGAAGGGUUUCGGCUCGUAAAACACUGUUGUAAGAGAAGAAUGACAUUGAGAGUAACUGUUCAAUGUGUGACGGUAUCUUACCAGAAAGGAACGGCUAAAUACGUGCCAGCAGCCGCGGUAAUACGUAUGUUCCAAGCGUUAUCCGGAUUUAUUGGGCGUAAAGCGAGCGCAGACGGUUAUUUAAGUCUGAAGUGAAAGCCCUCAGCUCAACUGAGGAAUUGCUUUGGAAACUGGAUGACUUGAGUGCAGUAGAGGAAAGUGGAACUCCAUGUGUAGCGGUGAAAUGCGUAGAUAUAUGGAAGAACACCAGUGGCGAAGGCGGCUUUCUGGACUGUAACUGACGUUGAGGCUCGAAAGUGUGGGUAGCAAACAGGAUUAGAUACCCUGGUAGUCCACACCGUAAACGAUGAGUGCUAGGUGUUUGAGGGUUUCCGCCCUUAAGUGCCGCAGCUAACGCAUUAAGCACUCCGCCUGGGGAGUACGACCGCAAGGUUGAAACUCAAAGGAAUUGACGGGGACCCGCACAAGCGGUGGAGCAUGUGGUUUAAUUCGAAGCAACGCGAAGAACCUUACCAGGUCUUGACAUCCCUUGACAACUCCAGAGAUGGAGCGUUCCCUUCGGGGACAAGGUGACAGGUGGUGCAUGGUUGUCGUCAGCUCGUGUCGUGAGAUGUUGGGUUAAGUCCCGCAACGAGCGCAACCCUUAUUACUAGUUGCCAGCAUUCAGUUGGGCACUCUAGUGAGACUGCCGGUGACAAACCGGAGGAAGGUGGGGAUGACGUCAAAUCAUCAUGCCCCUUAUGACCUGGGCUACACACGUGCUACAAUGGCGUAUACAACGAGUUGCCAACCCGCGAGGGUGAGCUAAUCUCUUAAAGUACGUCUCAGUUCGGAUUGUAGGCUGCAACUCGCCUACAUGAAGUCGGAAUCGCUAGUAAUCGCGGAUCAGCACGCCGCGGUGAAUACGUUCCCGGGUCUUGUACACACCGCCCGUCACACCAUGAGAGUUUGUAACACCCAAAGCCGGUGGGGUAACCUUCGGGAGCCAGCC
rnacentral:rRNA from 1 species